UACAGAGACUGCAAGCGUUAUUCGGAUUCACUGGGCGUAAAGGGUGCGCAGGCGGUUGUGUGUGUCAGGUGUGAAAGCCCGGGGCUUAACCCCGGAAUUGCGCCUGAAACUACAUGACUAGAGCAUUGGAGAGGGUAGCGGAAUUCACGGUGUAGCAGUGAAAUGCGUAGAUAUCGUGAGGAACACCAGAGGCGAAGGCGGCUACCUGGACAAUUGCUGACGCUCAGGCACGAAAGCGUGGGGAGCAAAAGGG
rnacentral:rRNA from 2 species